UUCCGGUUGAUCCUGCCGGACCUGACUGCUAUCGGAUUGGUACUAAGCCAUGCGAGUCAUUGUAGCAAUACAAGGCGGACGGCUCAGUAACACGUAGUCAACCUAACUCGUGGACGUGGAUAACCUCGGGAAACUGAGAAUAAACCACGAUAGAUCAUAGUGCCUGGAAUGGCCUCUGGUCCAAACAGUUUACUGCCAUGGGAUGGGACUGCGGCCUAUCAGCUUGUUGGUGAGGUAAUGGCCCACCAAGGCGAUUACAGGUACGGGCUCUGAGAGGAGAAGCCCGGAGAUGGGUACUGAGACACGGACCCAGGCCCUAUG
rnacentral:rRNA from 1 species